AGCAGUCGCCGCGGUAAUACGGAGGGUGCAAGCGUUAUCCGGAUUUAUUGGGUUUAAAGGGUCCGUAGGCGGACUUAUAAGUCAGUGGUGAAAGCCUGUCGCUUAACGAUAGAACUGCCAUUGAUACUGUAAGUCUUGAGUAUAUUUGAGGUAGCUGGAAUAAGUAGUGUAGCGGUGAAAUGCAUAGAUAUUACUUAGAACACCAAUUGCGAAGGCAGGUUACCAAGAUAUAACUGACGCUGAGGGACGAAAGCGUGGGUAGCGAACAGGAUUAGAUACCCCGGUAGUCCCUGUCUCUUAUAC
rnacentral:rRNA from 1 species